GCCUGGAUGGCUCAAUUGGUUGAGCAUCUGACUUCGGCUCAGGUCGUGAUCUCGUGGUUUGUGAGUUCGAGCCCCGCAUCAGGCU
rnacentral:tRNA from 1 species